rnacentral:lncRNA from 1 species
GAGAAGAUGCUGGCUAAUCAAAGUUUAGUUCAUCGUUUUCUCUGGGACUUUGGUACGCAACUCAGUUAAACAUCCAGCCACAGGCAGAGAAGUCCAUUUUCCAUCUAUAUUCAAGUACCUUGAAUCACCAUGAGACUUACAAGAAAAUAGUCCUCAAGCAAAACUGCAUAACAAGCCACUUCACUUGUUGGGGCAACAAUAGUCACUUAAUAAAGAAAAAAAAUAAUGUGCAAAAACAUGCUUCUAUAAAGGAUCCAAAUCAGGUAAAAUUAUAAAUGUUUUUUUUUUUACUUUCUAUAAUUUAUUUAUUUUUAAUAAUUUACAUCCAAGUUAGUUUGCACAUGAUGCAACAAUGAUUUCAGGAGUAGAUUCCUUACUGCCUCUUACCUAUUUAUCUAUCCCCCCUCCUA